AUUGAACGCUGGCGGCGUGCCUAACACAUGCAAGUCGAGCGGUAACAGGUGUAGCAAUACAUGCUGACGAGCGGCGAACGGGUGAGUAAUGCUUCGGAAUCUACCCAAUGGUGGGGAAUAACCAGCCGAAAGGUUGGCUAAUACCGCAUACGUCCCACGGGAGAAAGCAGGGGAUCGCAAGACCUUGCGCCAAUGGAUGAGCCGAAGUCGGAUUAGCUAGUUGGAGGGUAACGGCCUACCAAGGCGACGAUCCGUGGCUGGUCUGAGAGGACGACCAGCCACACUGGGACUGAGACACGGCCCAGACUCCUACGGGAGGCAGCAGUGGGGAAUAUUGGACAAUGGGGGAAACCCUGAUCCAGCGACGCCGCGUGUGUGAAGAAGGCCUGCAGGUUGU
rnacentral:rRNA from 1 species